CAAAUAUGUAGGACUGCUUUUUUGCAUUUGUGCAAUAUCUCUAAAAUUAGAAAGGUCUUGUCUCAGAGUGAUGCUGAAAAACUAAUUCAUGCAUUUAUUUCCUCUAGGCUGGACUAUUGUAAUUCAUUACUAUCAGGUUGUACUAAAAGUUCCCU